UACGUAGGGUGCAAGCGUUAAUCGGAAUUACUGGGCGUAAAGCGUGCGCAGGCGGUUUUGUAAGCCAGAUGUGAAAUCCCCGGGCUUAACCUGGGAAUGGCAUUUGGGACUGCAAGGCUAGAGUAUGGCAGAGGGGGGUAGAAUUCCACGUGUAGCAGUGAAAUGCGUAGAGAUGUGGAGGAAUACCGAUGGCGAAGGCAGCCCCCUGGGCCAAUACUGACGCUCAUGCACGAAAGCGUGGGGAGCAAACAGG
rnacentral:rRNA from 1 species